rnacentral:lncRNA from 1 species
ACAUCCUUUGUAGCUAAUGGAUCUCUCCGGGCUCGGAGUCUGGGACAUUCCUCAGAAGCCUCCCCAUUAGGGGACUCAUUGGAUGACCCUCUUGUCCUUCGUGGGAAUGCUGAGAGUCAACCAAUCUCCUGCCAUAGCUCGGGGUUCCCACGUGGUGAUGGAGCAGGCUGCCCAACUGCCAGCCAUGGUAUAACCCCUCCUAGCUCUUGUCAAAGGUCUAUGAUCACUGGAAAACAAGAGGAAAUGGACUGUCCAGGAGAAUUGCUGCGUUUCACAAGUCACACAAGUCACACCAAUGGCAUGGGAAGAUGUCACAGUGGGUUAAGCUGCUUGUUCACAAGACCAAUGACCUCAGCUCCAUCCUUGGGACCCACAUAGCAGGAGAGGAC